UUGCCUGGUCCUGACAUGACCCAAUUCCUGCAAAACGAGAACCAACAAAAGAACUCGCUUUUACCGGACUCUCGAAUCGGGCAAUCGACAACCCACUUCGCUCGGCGUUGCCUCGGAGAGCUUGUGAGGGAGAUUGAGGCCCGCGUACUCUAAGGCGACGAGCUCGGGGCUCCCCAGCCGAUUCUUCCCUUCUUGCUGCUGUUCCAGCUGGACUGCGGUGCCGCCACCGUAACACCGAAGACGGCGAGCGCAGGUUGCCGCGGCGAGGUUGGCGAUGCGAAGGAGUGGAGGUGAGGAGGCGAGAGAAGCGCGCAAGGAAGCAGAGAAGGGAAUGACGAUGGCCAUUGAUGCCGACUCAAGCUUCGACUUUCAGGCAUUCAUGGAAGCUCCUGCGGCGAAGGAAAAUGGGAACCUGCUCGAGAACACGGUCAGUCCCUCCGCUUGGAAUCCUCGGUAUCCCCAACCGGGCAUAAGUCGGCCCUGCCUAUCUGAGAGUGGGGGAUUUUAUUGUUCAUAGAAAUUUUUAGAGAAUGAAAUUUGAAUAAUUAAGUUAAUUUUAGAAAGGGAAAAUUUCUAAUAAGAGUAUAUAUAUUUUCUCAAAUAAGAGUCUCAACUGAAUUUUUUUUUUUCAAAUAAAGACAUGAAAUGCUAUUAUUUUCUCAAAUAAGAAUCUCAAAUGGACUUAUUUCAAUUAACGACCUAAAGUGGCAUAUCCAUUUCCAAGGAAUGGCCAGACAUUAUAGUUAAUUAAGGGCAUUUUUGUCAUUUAAUUUAUUUUGAAGACAAACCAAAAAAGGGAAGAAAAAAGGCUAAAAUUCGAACGUUGAAAACUCUAUAUAUAGCAUUUAGGAGCUGAGAAACAGGUUCGGAACAUUUGACUUUGAUCUAAAUCACACAUUUUCUCUCUUCCCAUUUUUGAAUUAAGCAUCAGAAGGCCAAUUCAUGUGAAAAUUGCCAAUCGAAGGGAAGCUGAAAACCUAUCCUCCUUUUUGAUUUGGGUGACUAGGGUUUGAUUCGGUGGGGGCUUUUCUUAUUAUUUGAGGGAUAAUUACCAAAAAAAGUCAUAAACUUAUUGCACAAAUUGUCAAUUUAGUUAUAAAUUUUUCAAUUUUACUAAUUAAAACCUAAAUUUUUUUGAUAAUUUGCUCAUAUAGUCAUUUUGACAAAUUUUGACCGAAGAAUUGUUAACACGAAAGUCAAUUGUCUUAUGUGGCUUAAUUGACGCUUUAAUUUUUUUAAAUUUUUCCUGGAUUUUUUUUUUUUGACAAAUAUGACAAGGGUUGCCUACAAACCCUUGCCAAUCCUAGAUGAGGGUAGCCAACCUUGCCAGUUGUGAGCUAAGGCAACCAAGCUCUUGCCUAGUGGCUAGUGACCCUCGCAAGAUUUGGUUAAAAAAAAAGAAAAGAAAGAAAGAAAAAAGCAAAAAUUUAAAAUAUAUUUUUUAAAUUAUAAAUAAAUUAUCCAUAGCUUUGACCAUGCUACAUAGAAUAUAUGAUGUUCAUGUUAGUAAUUUUCAAUCAAAGUUGAUUGGAAAAGACUAUAUUGGCAAAUGUUAAAAAAUUUAUUACUCAUUUGGUAAAAUUAAAAGAUUUUGAUUGAAUUAGGCCAUGUUUGGCAACAUGCCAAACAGUGACUGAUUUUGAUUUUUUGUUCCCAUAAUCAGUUUGGGACGAGAAUCGCGUUUGGUAAAAUUUUUGUUCCCGAGAAUAAAUUUGUUCCAAGAAUUAGUUUGGGAGUAGAUUUGAGAAUAAAAAAAAAGUUGAUUAUGCGUCUAAGAAUAAAAAAAAGAAUCAACACAAUAAAACUCUUCUUCUUUUCUUCCGCCAUCCCGCGACGGCGCCGCCGUCCGCCGCCGCCCACCACCGCCCGCCGCCGGUCGCCGGCCGCCCAGCCCCGGCGAGGCCCGCCUGUCCACCGGUGACGCUCGGCCUCGCCAGAUCUGGCGAGGUCGAGCCUCGGCGGGGCUGGGUGAGCCUCGCCGGCAGCGGGGCGAGGCUCGGCCGAUAAGGGCCAACCUCGCCGAGGGACGGCGACGCUUUGGUGAGGUCACCGACAACCAACCAUAAGAAGAAGAAGAAAAAUAGGAGAAAAAGGAAAAAAAAAUGAAAAAAGAAAAGGAAAAAAGGUAAAAAAAAAAAAAAAGGAGAAAAAAAAGUAAAAAAGUAGAAAAAAUUACUUAAAAAUAAAAAAUAAUAAUUUGGAACAGAAUCAAUGAACACGUUAUCAAACACAAUUCUAUUCCAAAAUAAGAAAUUUUAGACAGUUACAAAACACGUUCUUUUACUCAGAAUCAGUUUCCGGGAACAGAAUAAAAAAUAAUCAUUUCUUGUCAGAAUUAGUUCCCGGGAACAGAAUCGUUGCCAAACGCGCGCUUAACAUCCAUACAAUAGAUUGUGGAAUUUUUUGGAAAAUUUUCCAAAUUAGUAUCUUCUUUGGGCUAUUCUUGGUCUAGAGUUUUGUAGACUAAUUCCUUCAUUAAUUCUCUCGGUGUACAUAGUAUUUGGUGGAAACUAUCGUUCCAGAUUUUCACGAAAUUAUCACCGUUAGUGUGCGUUGGCAAGAACAAAACCACCAAGGAUGAAUUUUCUCGUGAAAAUAACUUUGGCUAUUUGGAAAAUUGGAUCAUUAUAUAUAGUUGGAUCCUAACGGUAGUCGUAGAUUUUCCCGGAAAGUUUGGACGUGGAGAUAAUUCUUCUGCUCUCUUAUCUCAUUUGUUUGGAAAUCUUGGAUAAUAUUUGAGAGGUAGAGCAACUCAUCCUAUAUAUAUAUAUAUUGGUGUUGGAUCCUACUGACUCAAACAUUAAGUAAGGAAAGAUUUUAUUAUCCUAACCUUAAGCAAUAAUGAGUAUUUCCUAUUAUACAAUCUGUUUCAUGUUAUUAUCUUUUGAAAGCUAAAUAACUUAUGUACGCACCCUUUUCUGAUAUAGUUGUCACUGGCAUAAGUUUUGGACUUAAUCCUGGACUAAUAUAUAUUUUGAUGUUACUUAUUUUACAUUAAUGUGCAACCAAUGAUCUUUUCCAUUCUCAAUAUACCUAGUAUACGUAUGACAUCCGCUUUUAACAUAUUUUAAAAAAGACUCUUCCUAUAUAUCAAUUAGUUGUACUAAUUAUGGAACUAGUCAACUCAAUUCAUAUGAAAUAUACUAUAUAUUGAGUAAAAAACUUCAAAUAAAUAAUUGUAUGAAGCGAGGACUGAUGCUAUCUAUACUAUGAAGCGAACAUUUAAGAAAAUGACCGUAGUACACUUUCAAAUUAAAGUGAUAUCUUUAUUAGUUUAAUAGCAAAAAUAAAAAUGAUAAUUGCAAGUGUUCCCUCCAAAAGAAAGAAAGAAAAAGAAACGAAAAAUUAAAAUACUAAAAAAAUAUUAAAAUAUUACAAAAAAUUAUCUACAUCAUCAUUGGCUAUGCCAAGUCAGCCGACCAGCAUCUAUGUCAGCAAAAUUUGAUCAAAAUUAGUCGGAAUGACUAAAUUUACGUCAAGUUAAAAAAUUUAAGAUUAAAUUAACACAAAAUUCAAAUGUUUAGAUCUAAAUUGACAUCAAUAAAAAGAUUUAUGACUAAAUUACGUCAGUGUAAAAUGUUUAAAACUUUUUUGAUACUUUUCUCCAUAUUUGCUAGUGACGUUUAUAGAAAAAAAUAGUUAGAUAUUGAAAGAAAAUUUUCAAAAUUCUCGAAAUCUGUUUUUUUAUCUGUCUUAUUCUAAAUUAAAUUUGCUAAACGCUGUCAGCCUAGUCUCUCUCUUCGAGGAGGUGGGGAAGGAAUCGAAUUCCCCACCUCCCAAGGUGGCCACCUUUCGGAAUAUACCGAGAGAGGGAGAGCGGACGCGUCCAAGUAACGCUUGCCGCAGAUAUGGACGUCCCAGUCACCUAUCGCAUCGACAUGGACGUCCCAUCACCUAUCGCAUCGAAUCUUCGAUUAUUUUAUUUUCGUUAUCUCCUCCUCUCCCGCGCUCUGUUCAUCCAAUCAGAGCAGCAACGCACGACGCCAUUCUCGUCUCCCCGACCACUACGUACGAUCUCUCUCUCUCUCUCUCUCUCUCUGCGCCAUUGGGAUUGACAUGGUUCUUCUCACCUGAUUUUGUACUUGGGAGUACUUGUGGUAUUCCUCUGUCGUGUUUUCUUUUUUCUUUCCUGAGUUUGAAUGGUUCGAUCAUUGAAUGUCGCUUCUCAAAAGCAUUUUCACGCGGUUGGCUUCGCUUCGCUUGCAACACUCUGGAUUGUUUUUCACUAAAGAACUCAACCUAUCAGUAGGAUGCAAGUGGUUUGCGAGAUUGCCGUUUCGGAGUACCUGCCGGCCAUGAGAGUUUUCGACAUUUUCCUACGAAAGUUGUAGAUUCUUUGUUCGUUUGUCUAUCAUAUUCAUCAUCUCAUGAUAUCUUAGACCAGGAACGAGUCCGGCUGUUCAGUCUCUGCCUUAUGUUGCCCAAGAAAUAAAUUUCUAUCUGUAGUCCUCCUGUUGAUUUAAAGAGUCUAGCCUUUGCUGAGUCAGUAGAUGAUCUUUGUCAAGCAAAUAGGUCUAAUGUCAAAACUUAUUUGACUUUCUGCGGUGUCGCUCUUGACUCAAUAUUGCUUGUGUUCGGCUGGCCUUCUUGUUACUUUCUUGGCAUCCUACUGCACCAUUUGUCAUUGAAUAAACAUGGAUUGAAUUGACGUGCACUCUGCUGACAAACAGCUUUUCUUAAGCGUUGGUGGGUACGCUGUAGGGUAACACAUGCACCACGGGUCGUAUCCUCCACAUGGAUAUCCUCCGCAGGGGUAUCCACCGGGGUAUCCACCGGGGUAUCCACAAGGUGGAUUCUCGAGCUAUGCUACUGGGUACAAUGAGGGGCAAUACAUGCACUGCGAGUCAUAUCCUCCUCAUGGAUAUCGUCCGCCGGGUGGAUAUCCUCUUGCCGGUUAUCCUCCUCCGCCUGUAGCUUAUCCACCGGCUGGGGGAUAUCCACUAGCUGCUUAUCCCUGUCCUUCAGCUUCAUAUCAUUCAGGUAUUGAUCGUAACUGCUAUUAUCAGACUAAUAAUUGUAUUAUGAGCAUCUUAGGGUAACUUGUAGCUGUUCUUUCACUUUUCCACCGUGCGGCCAGCCCUCACCGGCCAUGGUUGUGCCAGCCACCGGAAAGAGGAGAGGAAAAAAAAAAAAAAACAGAGACAAAAAAAGGAAAGGAAUAAAAGAAAUAAAAAUUAGAAAGAAAAAAUUAGAAAAUUAUUAAAAUAUUAUUUAAAAAUGUCAACGUUAGUGCUGGCAGGACACAUAAGCCAGCCGCCAUCUACAUCAACAAUAUUCGGCCAAAUUAAUUGGAAAGAUUGAAUUAACUAGAUUAAGAGACUUGGGACUAAAUUGACACAAUUGUAAUAGGUUUAGGACUUUUUCUAUACUUUCCCCUAUCACGGCUAUCUAUUUUUCUUGAUCUGGUUACCUGCGUCUUUAUAGGGCACGGUCCUGGUAAGGGAGCAAUGUUAGCUGGGGGCCUCGCUGCUGCCGCCACUGCUUAUGGGGCACACCACAUGUCUCAUGGUGCUCAUCAUCUUGGACACGGGGCUUCUUACGGCCAUGGUCAUGGAAAGUUUAAGCGCGGAAAGUAUGGAAAGGGCUGGAAACAUGGCAUGUUUGGGAAGUACAAGGGCAAGCACUUCAAAAAGUGGAAGUGAAUCAUCACGUCUGUCCUGCUGGGGGACUGUUGUUGGCUUUCGACUGUUACUCAUAUGACCGAGUGGUUCUAUUAUGAUCCAUUCGUGGGAUAUAAGUGUACUACGUUUAAGUACUGAAUAUGCUUCCUGUGUUGUGUGUAUCUAUGACUGGUUACUCUCUUUAAGGAUUUGGGUCGAGUAUUUUAACAAUGUCAAUUUGCUUACCGAUUUGAGAUAUCUGUUAAAUCGCUGUUUGAUCAGCUUAUUGUAUGAUGAAGUUUAAGAGCUUUGCUCUACUUAAUGAAAACAAUUGAAGAUGCUUUGGCUGACUUUGAUUAAAAAUUUUGGGGUAACUUUUCCUGCAAACAUCUUCAUAUCAACUGAGUUCUGGUUAAAUGUAGCUGGCAUUUGGUUUGUUCAAAAAGCCAAGGAAUUUCUAAGUCUUGAGAGGAGGAUGAAGGGUCAACAGGUCAGAGGGAGGCUGAGAAAUUGCUCAGUGGUGAUUAACUAUAAUAACGUGAUUUCAUUGAUCAAAAUGAAAAUAUAGCAAACACAUGAUUAUGACAGUAUUCUCAUUCUCUUCAUUGUUCGAUGACUGUCGGGAAACAGAAUUUCACAGGCAAUUGAAUGAUCAUGUCACUGCUUGAAUUGUCUAGUUUGCUUAAGACCUGCCCGUUGGAUGAACUCUUUUUCUACUAUCUGACUUUUCCCAGGUCUUGGGAAGUCCAUUUAUGUCUGCUGAUGAGGAAUAUGAUUGUGGCAGAAACUCUUGGGAGGCCAAUAUUCACGAGUUUAAUAUUCGAGUGAUUCUGUUUUGACAUUUUAAUCUUGGGUUGGCGCUCAUCACCUUCAUAUUCUGGCGUUCUGCAGAGAAAAUGAACAACGAAGGUGGUAAAAAUUCUGACUGUAGAGGAUGUUACACUUGUUAGAUCCUAUAGCUUGAUAAAGUAUAUUCAAACUAGAAAAAUAGAAGAGGGAAUGGCUAUGUAUUUUCUCAUACUCAUGCAACUAAGUUAAAAAGGAGUUCAAUACGCUGGUUACACAUAACACAAAUUGUUAGGAAUACGCAGCAGAAACCCAAUACCUUCACUUGGGGAGAAUGCCAAGAUGAACCUCAAGUUUAAGCCCAUUAAUAUAUCUAGUUGGGCUCACCUUCACAGGCCCAUUAAUAUAUCUAGUUGGACCCACAUUUGCUCAAAGCUUAAGCCAAUGAGUUGUGAGCCAACUAUGAUAUAUUAAUUGUUAUACACCACAUCAAUUCUCCCACAUGAAAUUUCUUUACCACUACUCACACGUACAUGUAUCCUAAUAAUCUCUUCCUCAUGUGUGAGCUUAGUGUUAGGUCUGUUUUUCCUUAAUUCAAGUAUCCUUUUGCAUCAACUUCCUUCAAGCUUGUGUUGCUACACCAUAACAUCCACCUGCAUGAAACUACAACCAUGGGCUUUGAUACUAUUUGUUAAGAAUGCACAACAGAAGCCCAAUACCUUCCUUUGGGAAGAUUGCUAAGAGAAAGCCCAAGUCCUAGUUUAUUAAUAUAUCAAAUUAAACCGAACUUCACUCAAAAGCUUAAAUUAAUAAAUUACACCACAUUAUUUUUUAGAUGUAGGAUUUCUCUAACACAGCUCACAUAUAUAUCUAACACAAAUAGAUCAUAAUACAAAUAGUUAUUGGAUUAGUAAUGUCAAUCUUUUGUUAUUUAGAUAUAUAAUAAAUGUCUUAGGAUACCCCUUAACAAAAAAAAUCCUUGGAGAUAUGUAUACGGCUUGCCAAAAGUAGCCGAAAACACGUAAGCGCAUGCACGUGUGCAGGUGGCUUGACAUGCUUGGAAAGUGAGGUAGCUACUUUUUUUUUUUUUCACUUUUUUGGGGUAAGAAGGGAGAUGUAAUAAAAGCAAUAGCUAACCAUGGUCUACAACCCUUGAUUGACCUAUUAGUUUCUCAGAUCGGCAUCCGAAAUGGCCUGCAUAUUAGGAAGCGGCGGGAGCCAGAUUUUGACUGCAAAAUCCCGAUGACUCCUUCCUUUCUUUGCCCAGGUAAUCUACCCCCGUGACAUGCAUCUCAAUCUCAACAAGCUGAAUGUUAAGAUUCCCAUUGAUGAUGACGGGUUCUGCAACCUACUGGGCAUUGGACACGUGCUUUCGGAAUCCGACUUGAUGGGAUGAUCGAAAAAGAUAGCGAUUCGGUUGCCUGAGUCGAGGUGGAUCAAUCCAUUGGUCGUGUGAACGGUUAAAUGGCCACGUAUCAUUAUAUAUCACUUUUGUCGCGGCGAAUUACCAUACGAGCCGAUACUUUGUCUUAUCUAACCCAACAAUUUUUUUUUUUUUUUGGACAACCCUUGAAAGAAGAAAACUUUAUAAACAGCCGUUUAGGAGCUGAGGAACAAGUUUGUAACAUUUGACUAUGGUCUAAAUUGCACACAAUUUCUCUCGGUCUCCAUUUUCUGAUUUAAGCAUCGGAAAGCCAAUCCAUGUGAAAAAUGCCAACUAAAGGGAAGCUAAAAACCUAUCCUCUUUUUUGAUUUUGCUUAACUUGAGUUUGAUUCGGAGAGGGCUGUUCUUACUUGGCUGAUUAGAUGGGAUAAUUAUCUAAAAAAAAAUUAAACAUAUGAUUCCGACUCAAUUUUAAAUCUUUUGAUUUUGCCUGUUGAAUAUUGAGUCAUAAGCAUUUUAAAAAUUUAUCAAUGUAACCCUUCCAAUCAAUUUUGGUGUGAAAAUGAUGACGCCAACAUUUGUAGUCCUACCUAACAUAAUUGGCACUUUGAAUUUAUUUAUAAAUUUUUUGGAUUUUUUUUCUUUUUUUUUCUUUUUUUCCCCUCACCAAAUCCAGCGACAAUUGCCGACUGACCCUUGCCGACCAUAGAUGAGGGCAACCGAGCCCUUGCUGAUUGUGUGCUAGGGCAACCAAGGCCUCGCCUAGUGGCCGGUGACCCUCGCAAGAUUUGGUUAAAAAAAAGUAAAGAAAGAAAAGCAAAAGUAAAAGAAAAAUUAAAAAUUAUAUAAACAUUUAAAAAAUAUAUUCAUAGUACCAACCAUAUCAUGUAGAAUGACUAACAUUAAUGUCAGCAAUUUUUAUCAAAAUUAGUUGGAAUAACUAUAUUAACAAAUUAUCAAUAGGUUUAUGACUUAAUUAAUAAAAAUGAAAAGUUUAAAACUGAAUUGACAGUCGUAUAAUAGGCUUUGGACUUUUUUGGUAAUUUUCCCACAUUAGUGUUUCUUCUUUGAGCUUUUCUUGGUUUAGGGCUAUGUCAUGUAAUUCCUUCAUUUGUUCUUUCUGUGUCACGGUUUUUGGUGGAAACUAUAAUUCCAGAUUUUCAUAAAAUUAUCACUGUCCGUAUGUAUUGGCAAGAACAAAAUGAGUAAGGAUGAAUUUUCUUGUGAACAUAGCUUUGGCGGUGUGGAAAAUUGGAUCAUAUUAUACACAUGAUGAUAGUGGUAGAUUUUCCUGGAACGUUUGGACGUGGAGAUUAUUAUUCUGCUCUUUUAUCCACUCUGUCAUCAUUGGUUUGAAAUUUUGGAUACCACAUAUAUGAGAGGAAGUGCAACUCAUCUUAUAUCUUUACUUCUUCUCUUUUUUUUUGUUAAUUUAUGGUUUUUUAUUAGUCUGACAGGAUUCUAUUUACUCAAACAUCAAUUAAGGGAAGAUUUUAUUAUACUAACCUUAAGCAAUAAUGAGUUUUUCCUUCUAUAUAAUUUGUUUCGUGUUCUUAUCUUUUAAAAAUUAAACAAUUGAAGUACGAGCUCCUUUUCUUAUAUAGUUGUCACUGAUAUGAGUUUUGGGCUUAACCCUUGACUAUUAUAUAUUUUGAUGUUAACUUACUUAUCUUACGUUAGUGUGCAACCGAUACCCUUUUCCAUUCUCUAUAAACCUAAUAUAAUACGACAUGCUCUUAAUAUAAAUUAUAAUAAAUAUAUCAAUUCAUACAACUGUUCCUAUAUCUCAAUCAGUUGGUAGUAAUUAUGAAACUAGUCUACACGGUUCAUUAUAAAUUAUACCAUAUCUCGAAUAAAUAAAUAAUGGUAUGAAGCGAAGACCAAUGUCAUCUAUACUACCCCACCAAGCCAACGUUUAAGAAAAUGACCAUAAUAUACUUUCAAUAAAUUAAAGUGAUAUAUCUUUAUUAGUUUUGUAGCAAAAAGAAAUAUCAUAACAACCUCAAGCAGAUCCUCCUUCCUUGACCUUCAUCCUCGACCAACUGCACCAUCUUUGCUACAACUCCAUUGUGAAUGCUCCAAGAUUUGAGGGUAUUUUUACUUUGGGAAAAAGCCACAAAAAAUCCCCAACUUUGCUUGGAGUGACAGAUUUAUCCCAAACUUUAUUUUGUGACGUGAUAAACCUCGAAAUUUGCUAACUGUGACACAUUUACCCCAAACUUUUAUUUGUGACACAAAAAAUCUUGAACUUUCAUUUGCGUGACACAUUUACCCUAAAUCAUAGGGGCAUUUUGGUCUUUUUACUUUUAAAAACUUUUUUCUUUUUUUUGUUCUUUUUUUCUUCUUCUUCUUCCUUCCCUCUACCGGCCAUGGUGGAGUUGGCGGAGGGAAGCCGGCAUCCGGCGAGGGCCACCCUCGCCGACGUCCAGCGAGGGCCUCCCUCCCCAGAUCUGGCGAGGGCACCCUCACCUGACGCCAGCGAGGGCACCCCUCGCCCGACGCAGGUGAGGACGACCCUCGUCAGUGUCGGGCGAGGGCCUCCCUAGCUAGAUCUGGCGAGGGCACCCUCGCCCGACGCUGGUGAGGGCACCCUCGCCCGACGCUGGUGAGGGCACCCCUCGCCCAAGUCCGAUGAGGGCACCCCUCGCCAGGCCCUCACCUGGCGCAGGCGAGGACGACCCUCGUCGGUGUCAGAUGAGGGCCUCCCUAGCGAGGGCACCCUCGCUCGACGUUGGCGAGAGCACCCCUCGCCAGGCCCUCGCCGGCGUUGGGCACCCCUCCCCAGGCCCUCGCCAGAUCUGGCGAGGGCACCCCUCGCCCGAUGCCAGUGAGGGCCGCCCUAGCUAGCCCAGGCGAGGGCGACCCUCGCCCAACACAGGUGAGGGCAGCCCUCGCUGGACGCCGGCUUCCCUCCGCCGGCUCCGCCAUGGCCGGCAGAGGGAAGAGAGAAGAAGAAAAAAAAGAAAAAAGAAAAAGAAAAAAACAUAAAGAAUAAGACGAAAAUACCCUUAAUGGGGUAAAUGUGUCACAGUUAGCAAACUUCGGGGUUUUUCACGUCACAAAACAAAGUUUGGGGUAAAUCUGUCAUUCCAAGCAAUGUUGGUGGUUUUUGGUGGCUUUUUCCCUUUUACUUUUGACUUGACUUUAUCCUACGCUCAAACCACUCCAGCAUUUCAUGCUCCAGUUUACGAAUAGACAUAAUCGAUAAGGAGAAAUAUUUACGCUCCAGUACUUAUAUGUUAUAUAUCUCUUUAUUUUGGUACUUCCUUUGAUUCUUGCAACUCUUCUUUUUUUGAUUCUCAAUUUCUUUUUUGCAAUCUGUUUUGGUUGAUUUUUAUUUAAGAGGAAGAGAACGCUAAAUGUAACUUAUAUACUUUCUUUCUUCAACAGAUAUUCGUUUUCUUUUAAUUAAUGCAACGGAAAUGUUUGUUUAUGUACUAGGGUGAUAUGCUUUCAAUUUUCUUAAUAUGAAAGAAAUAAGUAAGGAACUGCUCUUUUAAUCAGUUGUAGAAUAUUGAUUUUUUUUCAAUUUUUUUUUUUUUAAAAGAAACAAAUUAGUAACUGCUUUUAAGAGUUUAUGGCCCUCAGGUUUUGACUCUUCAUCAGGUUUUGACUCUUCAUAUAACCGAUGGGCAUUUAUAAGAUAAACCUUUUCAAGCCAAUCUAAGUCUUAAUAUCAAGUGCGUUAGGAAGAAAUAUCGACAAGAUAAACCUUUUCAAGCCAAUCUAAGUCUUAAUAUCGAGUGCGUUAGGAAGAAAUAUCGACAAAAUCAUCUGUGGCUCAUUCCAUCAUAUCACACACGCAUACAAGAGAGAGAGAGAUGGAAAAUGUUCUCACUCUUUUUGAUCUAAUAGAACAAAACCGAUUCUCAAAAUAUGAUUGUUAAUAGCAACGAGUCCGAAGAAAAAUAUUAGGAAUGUUGUAGUCACAUAAAGAAUUGUUGCACGUCAAGAAAGUACCAAUCAAAGAGAAUUUUUUAGCCAAUUUGAUAAUGACUGGGUGAAAAGAGAGAAAAAAUUAGAUGUGACUUUCAUAUGACUUUUUCCUGGACAAAGAAUAGACAAUGAGAAGUGGUAUUGUUCAUCGACUCUCUCUAGGGGGGCGAUCCGGGUACUGUUCAUCGUCUCUGGGGUGCACUUGGCCCAGGAGCUACAGGUGUCCAUUUGCUCCAAUUUUUAGAGGGAUUCCUCCUAACCCACCAACCUUGCACCUCACCGAACGGAUCGGCUUGAAUCUUCUGCUUGGCAGACCAGCUCGCCCUUUCGAGUGCUGUCUGCUGAAUCACGAGGGUUGGUUGUUGCGGGCCUGCUCGAGCGAUUCCUGGGGUGAAGCUUCGGCCUAAAGGUGGGGGUAGGAGUCAACCACCAUCCUCUUCCCUAUUGGGUGGCCUGGUAUGGAGUCUUCCCUCUCGGCUGCACCAUAGAAGAUAGUGAGGCUGCUUCUGCUUGCUGGUGUUAUGGCGUCUUCUUCGUUUGAGAAGGCCGUUGGCUCUAGUAGUAGGAAGGGCCCCAACUCUUCUCCUCUCAAUGCUGUAGACCACUUGGAUGGAAAGACUCAAGUUCCCCGAUCAGGGGGGGAAUGCACCAAAGGGUGUGAGAGCCAAGGGUGGUCACUCCUCUAGACCUCCUCGGGCUGAUAGGUCAAGGGAUAGGAGUUGGUUAAGGGCCCCUUCCAAUUGGGCCCCAAGCAAGCUUGAUUGGCCCUCCAAGCCACCCCAAUCCCGAUCAUGGGCCAAUGUUGCUUGGUUGGCAGCAAAGGGCUUUGAGCUCCCUUAUGUACAGGCGACUCUUAUAGAUGGGAAACUGGUUAUCAAUUUGAUGAAGGAGGUCCUCCAGGCUGCGGAUCCUAAAUGGAACGAAUUCCUAGUUGGAUUCUUUGUUGGGAAAAGGCUCCCAUUUCAGCUUAUAGAGCAAACCUUAAAGAAGACUUGGGGUCUGAGGUUGGUUGAUGUGCUAGCUGAUGACCAAGGCUUCUAUUUGUCGUGACCUUCCCGAGGGUGAAUUACUUAAAGAAGGCUAAUGGGUUACUAAGUUCGAAGACUUGGCACGGACCCUCCCAAGUCCUAUCAAUCGCGACUUGAUGUUAAGAAAUUAAUAUAUUUAAAUAUGCAAUUAUAUUUAAUUUGGAGCCGCCACUAACCAAUUAGGGUUGGUUAGAAACCCAAGUAAAGUAUGGGAGAAUACUUUAUUUUUGCGAACCAGAGAUUCAGUAGGUCCGGGGACAUAGUUACGCUAGAUUAGUCUAACGCCAUUUCGGUACCUUUUUAUUUUAAUUUUAAAAAUAUUUUGCAGGCAAUGUUGAUUAAUUUAAACUUAAGCUACUAACAUGCAAAUGGUCAUGUGGGUGCACAAUCAAUAAAAUAACAUUCAAUAAAAAAAUGCUAAUAAAAAUGCAUGCCCUAAACAUAAUUUCUAAAUGACAUGACACUAAUUUUUCUUUUUCUUUUUGAAAAUGUUAAUUAUAUGCAAUCUUAAUUUAAAUUUGAUAUGCAUGAGUUUUACUUUAAUGACAUAUGAGAUGCAAUUCAUGUGACAUAAUUUAAAUCAUUACAAUAUGUGUGCUAUCUAAUUUGCAUGUGCUAUAUGAUGUGGGAUGAAUGACAUAAUAAUUCUAUAUGCAUGUAUGACAUUUUUUGUUCCUCUUUUGUUUUACUAAAUGAAAAUUGACUUAAUCUAAAAAUAUCUAGGUGUGCUGCUUUAAUAUGAAAUGUGUAUGGACCUAAGUACCUAAGUUCUAGAUAUGACCAUAUUUUACUAAUAAACAAAUUCUAAUUAAACCUAUUAUGCAAAUUAAUUAAUAUGUACCUAAUAUUUUUUGAUUCUUUUUAUUGAAAUUUGGAAUUAAUAACCAAUUAGACUAACUAAAGUGAAUGAUAUUCUAAUUUACUAACCCUAAAAAUACAGUCCUAAUUUACUAAACCUAAAUGCUCUAAUGCAAUAUUUAGAUUUUUAUGUACUUUUUGAUUUUUUUGAUUUUUUUUAAUCUUUUCAAACAAGUAAUUAUUUUAAAAGAAUGAAGAUAAGAAUUAAAAUAACCGAAAAAAUAAUCUGUUAUCUCACAGAUUAAAUUAACAAUUAUUUUAACUCUAUAAUGAUUUAACAAUUGAAAUACUAUCAAAAUUCCUAAAAAUUAAAGUAAUUAAAAAAAUGACCCGACGUCUUACGGGUCAAAUUAAUAAUUAUCAUAAUUUUGGAUAAAACCCCUUAAUGUCUACAAGGUCUACAAAUAUUGACAUACAUACUACAUUCAAUAAUUAAACUUAAAAAUAAGCUAACAUAACAUGAAAUAAGUACACAAUAACACUAUACUACCUAAGGCUUGGAAAAUGGAAGCAGCAACCGUGGUUCAGUGAUGGGUCGUGGUGGCUGGAGUAGGGAGCGUCGGGCACCGGGUCGAGUAGGGGUGACGCGGCGUCGGGGCAAGGCGUCGCGGAUGAGGCGUGUCGACUGGCUCGAAGGCGGAUGCUGCAGGGGUGUCGGAUCCGGCUGCAGUGGUGCUGGGCUGACGGGGGCGGGUCGCAACGCUGCAAAUCGUGGACUUCGGGGCACGGCUAAGGUAGAGCAGCAGAAACAGGGGAUGGCGUCGGUGGUUGCACGUGGACCUGUAGCGUCGGGGUCAUCGUGGGCGAUGGUGUCAAGGCUCGGUGGUGACACGGGUCGGCUGCGGUGGUGCGGACCAGGGGCGUCGAGCCGGUGGUGGCUCCGAACGGAUUCGUAGGCGGCGUUGGAUGGCGGUACGGCAAAGCAGCGUCAAUCGCUCGGGUGUGCAGCAAAUGGACCACCAGUGGUGUCGAUGGGGUUGAAGAAACGUCGGUCGGGUUGGCGCGGUGGCGGUGUGAGCACGGCGGUAUGUACGCGGUGGAUGGCACAGGCACUUGCAGACGAGGCCGGCAAUGGGCUGCUCCACGGACGAAGAUGAACAGGGGCCCCUUUUCUUCCUUUUAUAUUAUUUUUUUUGCUGAAGCCCCUCACAUCUUCUCUCGCACGUCACUUCUUCUCUGUCUUCUUCUGCAAAUGCUGCUCCACUGCUUUUCUUUUUUGACUUUUUCUCUUCUUUGUGUUUCUUCCUCUUCUCUCUCCUUUUUUUGACUUUUCUCUUCCUUUUUAAACUUUCGAUGGCCCCUCAGAGAACUCUCCUUCCCUUCUGACUUUUCUUCGACGAAGACAGAGAGGCCCCCUUUUUACCGAAGCUUUGUAUUCUCUAUUUAUAGAGGAAACACUCGAAUUUGUUUUUGCAGGUGAAGAUUUGCACAUAUUUGCUCAACCGUUCAACAAAAUAGUGGCUCCAAAAUCAUGAGUUUUUGAAUUCAAAAUGAGGAGAUUUGUUCAACAAUCAAAUGUUUUAUUAUUCAAAAGAAAUAUUCAAAAUUUCCAUCCAGAACCAAAUGCUCUAUUUUUAAUUUCUAAAAAAAAACUAAAUUUAAAUUAGGUGUCAACACUAUUAUUUUCAUAUUCCGGACCCGCUCGUUCGCAGGAAAAUUCUAGAAGAGGGUCCUCUCACUGUUGCUAGAGUUCCGCUUUUCUUAGAACAAUGGAAGCCAUUAAUGGUAUUGAAGAAGGACAAACAGUCCGCUAUCUCGGUUUGGGUAAGGCUCAAGAACUUGCCCCUUGACCUUUGGUUCGCAUCAGCCAUUGGUACUAUUGCUAGCUCUAUGGGGAAACCCUUUUUUGUGGAUCAACGCACCGAGGAGAAAAUGAUGAUCUCUUUUGCUCGUGUAUGUGUUGAGAUUCAAGCAAACCAACCUAGGGUCUCUUCGGUGGAAGUAAAUGUCGAUGGUGUUCCUAGGGUCAUUGCAAUUGAAUUUGAAUGGAAGCCAGUGGAGUGCCAAAAGUGUGGAGUUUUUGGGCACAAGUGUGCUACCCUUGCCCCUGCUCGAUCCCCUUCGUCCCCGAAGAAUCAUCACCAUGCCCCUCCUGCUUUGGAGAUGGCCUGACCUUCCGCCUCUGACCCGGCAGCGCCUGGUGCCCUUGACCAGGGCUGGAAAAAGGUUAUAAGCAAGAAGAAGAAGACCGUACCUCCGCUUCUUGAUACCUCAUCCGCCCCGGAUUGAUGAUGGGAGGUCCUUGAAGCUGAAGACAAUAGCGGUUGAGAAGAGAAUGCCUAUUUCCUACUCUUGAAAGGGCCAUAGAGGCCAGUUGAUCAUAUUUGAGCCGAAUGAAGAUGCACCUUCUUUGGACGGUGAUGACCUUCUAUCAGAGCAUGAUGUUCCUACUUUGGAUGGUUCGGGUGAAGGGGCCAAGGCCUCCGACCUCAUCUCUUCCUCGGAUGAUGACAUCCUUUCUCCUUGCACCUCUCCGAAGAAGGCUGAGGAUAGGAAGCUUGCCCUUGCUAUAGACCCACCCCCUUCCUUAAUGCAAGACCAGCCGCUUGCCUUAGCUCCGAAUCCCACUUCGGAGGCACGGCCCCCUCCGCCUGUUACUAGGCAAAGCUCCUCUAAAAAGAGGUAAUCCCUCUCCUGUCUCCUUGUAAAUAUGUAUAUAGGGUGUUGAAAUUCUAGAGGGCUUGUUGCCCCCUCUUAAAUAAGCGAAAGUGAGGAACUUUAUUUUGACGAACCGAUUAUCCUUGGUCAGGCUAGUAGAGACUAGAGUUCCUCAUCAUCUCUUUAAUGCUAUUACUAGCAAGUUAAUGGUGAACUAGUGCUGGCACACCAACUCGGAGUUCUUUGAUAGAGGUAGGAUUUGGAUAGGCUGGGAUCCUGCCGCGGUUUCUUUGGAGCCUCUUUCAAUCUUGAAUCAGGCGUUUCGUGGGAAAGUUCGUUGGUUGGAUUAUGGUGCAACUUGUGUUGUCUCUAUCACUUAUGUCAAGCAUUCUUUUACGUCUCGGCGUCCGUUGUGGGAGGACCUGGUGAUGAGGAGCUCUUCUCUUCAGGAUGUGCUUUGAAUUGUCAUGGGAGACUUUAAUGCGAUUAAGGAUCCCUCGGAUAGGGUGGGUGGCUCUGACCUUUGGUUGCCAUCCUUUGAUGAGUUUUGGCAGUAUCUUGAUCAGGCGGAGCUAGAGGACCUUAGGUAUGUGGGUUUCCGAUUCACUUGGUCCAUUUCUUCAUCUCUUUAAUGCUAUUACUAGCAAGUUAAUGGUGAACUAGUGCUGGCACACCAACUCGGAGUUCUUUGAUAGAGGUAGGAUUUGGAUAGGCUGGGAUCCUGCCGCGGUUUCUUUGGAGCCUCUUUCAAUCUUGAAUCAGGCGUUUCGUGGGAAAGUUCGUUGGUUGGAUUAUGGUGCAACUUGUGUUGUCUCUAUCACUUAUGUCAAGCAUUCUUUUACGUCUCGGCGUCCGUUGUGGGAGGACCUGGUGAUGAGGAGCUCUUCUCUUCAGGAUGUGCUUUGAAUUGUCAUGGGAGACUUUAAUGCGAUUAAGGAUCCCUCGGAUAGGGUGGGUGGCUCUGACCUUUGGUUGCCAUCCUUUGACGAGUUUUGGCAGUAUCUUGAUCAGGCGGAGCUAGAGGACCUUAGGUAUGUGGGUUUCCGAUUCACUUGGUCCAUUUCUUCAAGUCCCACACACAAGAUGAGGAAGAUCGAUAGAGUUUUGGUGAACUUGUGCUGGAACUAGGCGUUCUCCUACUCAGAGGCUUCCUUUCUCGCUCCUGGGAUUUCAGAUCAUUCACCUAUGCUGGUCAAGGUGGAGAAUCCGAUUCUUCAGAAAAGGCCGUUUAAGUUCUUUGAGUUUUGGAUGUAGCACCCGAACUUUGAUUCAAUCGUGAAACAGGUGUGGGAGACUCUAGUGUUGGGGGUGACCAUUUUUUUGCUUGUGUGUAAAUUGAAGGCCCUCAAAGGUCGUCUUAAGCAGUUGAAUAAGGAGUCAUUUGCCAACAUCUCUCUUAGAACGUCCGAUGCGAGAGAAGCCUUAAAGCAGACUCAAGUGGACCUACUUCAAGAUCCUACUAGUGUAGUUCUUGCGGACUUGGAAAGGGUUCAAUGCCGAGCCCUUUUAGAACUUCGAUCCCAGGAGAAGUCAUUCUUCAGGCAGAAAGCUCGUAUUAGAUGGCUCAAGGAGGGUGAUUGAAAUACCAAGUUCUUUCACCAUUAUGCUAGUAAAAGACAACUGAGGAAUAGAAUUCUCUUGGUGGUGGAUGACUCAGGUAGCCAAAUCACUGACCUUCAUUUGGUCCAGCAGCAUUUUGUGGAAUUCUUUCGCGACCUUCUCUCACUCGAGUGGAUCAAAUUACCCCAGCAGUGNNNNNNNNNNNNNNNNNNNNNNNNNNNNNNNNNNNNNNNNNNNNNNNNNNNNNNNNNNNNNNNNNNNNNNNNNNNNNNNNNNNNNNNNNNNNNNNNNNNNNNNNNNNNNNNNNNNNNNNNNNNNNNNNNNNNNNNNNNNNNNNNNNNNNNNNNNNNNNNNNNNNNNNNNNNNNNNNNNNNNNNNNNNNNNNNNNNNNNNNNNNNNNNNNNNNNNNNNNNNNNNNNNNNNNNNNNNNNNNNNNNNNNNNNNNNNNNNNNNNNNNNNNNNNNNNNNNNNNNNNNNNNNNNNNNNNNNNNNNNNNNNNNNNNNNNNNNUCAUCAAAUUUAAUCUGCUCCCCAGACCGAUUAUGGUGGGCGAAUACGGUAUACAAGAUCAUUGCCAAAGUGUUGGCGAGCAGGGUGCCUACCGUGCUUAAAGAUCUGGUGAGCCCUUACCAAAGUGCAUUCGUUAAGGGGCGGCGAAUCAGAGACAAUAUCCUCUUGGCACAGGAACUUUUCGAUGGUUUUCAUGUGGAGUCUCGUACCCCAAAGUGUGCUAUUAAGGUUGAUUUCAGGAAGGCGUAUGAUACCGUGAAUUGGCAAUUCCUUGAGAAUACUCUACUUCCCUUAGGUUUCCUAAUCGGUUGGUUCAACUCAUAAUGACUUGUGUCAGGACGCGUCGGUUUUCCAUUGCGCUGAAUGGAGAACUUCAUGGCUUAUUUCUUAGUGGGCGGGGCCUUCGUCAGGGGGAUCCCGUAUCUCCUUACUUGUCCACGCUGGUGAUGGAGGUGCUUUCUGGGGUUUUGGAGAGGUGCUUGCUACAGUUUGAGUUCAGAUUCUUCUGGAGGUGUAAGCCUAUUACCCUUUCACACCUUUUCUUUGCAAAUGAUGUAUUUCUUUUUUGUGAGGGCCACAUGCUUUCGAUCAAGCUUCUUAAGGAGGGUUUGUAGCAGUUUUCGGGUUGGAGUGACAUCCUCCCAAAUUCAAGAAAAAGCGAAGUAUUCUUCUCUGGUGGCCUUCCGUCUCUUCGAGACCAUAUCUUGAAUGAGCUUGGCUUCCAGGAGGGUUCACUUCCAGUUCGGUACUGAGGUGUUCCAAUUAUCAUUUCAAGGCUUAGGAAAGUGGAUUGUGCCAUUCUGGUUAGGCAUAUAACAUCCAGAGUGCAAUCCUGGACUCUACAAUUCCUAUCCUUCACUGGUCGUCUUCAACUGAUUAGGUCAGUUCUCCAUGUCAUUCAAGUCUACUGGGCUAGUGUUUUCAUUCUCCUCGCAGCAGUACUGGAUGAGAUAGAGCAGAUUCUUAGACAAUUCCUAUGGAAAGGACCUCACUUGGGGAGAGGGGGUGCCAAAGUCUCUUGGGAGAACGUCUGCCUUCCUAAGAUUGAGGGGGGCCUAGGUAUCCGGAGACUGUGCGAAUGCAAUAAAGUGGCUAUGCUUAAACACAUCUGGACCCUUUUCUCUGAUAAAGAAUCUUUAUGGUGUAGAUGGAUUUACUCGACCUUUUUAAAAAGGAGGAAUUUUUGGGUGGGAAGGAAGCCAACUUUGUGUUCUUGGGCUUGGAAGAAAAUUCUACAACUCAGGACAAAAUUCUGGCUCCGCUUCCAGGGGAGGAUAGGCAAUGGUCUCAACACUUCGCUCUGGUUUGACAAUUGGCACCCCAGGGGUCCUUUGAACUUAUCUAUAGAUCUGGUCUUUCAAGACAGACUUCUGUGGCUGACCUUUUUUCUAAGAACGGCCACACUAUAUGGUCAGUGAUUGCAACUUGGGGUUUGUCGCUCCCUUCUUUGACUGAUGUUAAAGAUCGGUUUUGUUGGAGGGAGAAUUCCAUGGGAGUGUUUUCGGUGGCCUCAGCUUGGGAGCUCAUAAGGUGAAAGAAGGAUCGAGUUAGUUGGAAUGGUUUCAUUUGGAACAAUGCCAUCCUACCUCGAUAUCAAUCUAACAUUUGGCUCAUUACCAAACGAAGGCUGCCUACUCAAUCCCAUAGGAUUGAUGAUGCAUCCUGCCCUUUCUGUGAAGAGGAGCCUGACUCUAUCGAUCACUUAUUUUUUGGAUGUCACAUUACGUCGCGUAUUGCCUUCUUUUGGGCAACUAGGUGCGGACUCCCUUGGAGUAACAAGGGAUAUGCUAACUUGGGCCACUACUUUCCUUGCGGGCAAGGAGUUUCAUAAAUGUAUUGCCCAUUUUUCCUUUGGUGCGCUUUGUCACAUCAUAUGGAAGAAUAUGAAUGAUAUCAUUUUCAAGGGUGAGCCUGUUUCUACCUCGACCAAAAAGAAGCACAUUCUCAAAGUCGUUCAAGAUAAAGCUCUCACCUACAGGAAUGUGGACGACUCCCUAGAAAUAGAGGACUACAACGGUACCGGGAGUUAGAUCCUUCCAUCUUCUCCUCUGCUAUUUGUACUCUGGCUGGUUAGGCCCUUGGUAUUUUUUGGGUGUGCCAGAGCCUUUUGUGCUAAUUUUGGUCCUAUUGCUUGCCGCUUGGCUUUUUUCUAUUGGCUUCCUUCCACUCUCUAUGAGCAUGUUCAUUGAGAGUGUAAGUGUUUUGAAGCCGAGGGUUGUAUAGUUUUCCUUCCCCUUUUAUUAUAUCUCUUACCUUACCCCAAAAAGAAAAGAAAAGAAUAGACAAUGACAUUUUCACACUUGAUACAGGUUAAAAGGAAAUGGCCUCUACUACUUACCGGGGUCUAAUCGUGGAAUGAAGGAAAAAAGGAGUAGGUCAUCACGGAAGCCAGAAUAAGACAAACCAUAAACUUCUUAGCAAGGUUGCAGUAUUUUCCCGGAGUCUGUCUCGCAAAACAUGAGGAUUAGACUUUUCUUGGCUUUUCUCGGUUUGGGGUUUUGUCAGGCACUUCAUUGAUUGGUUCUCUCUGUCUUUAAGGUUUUGUGUGAAAUUGACUUUCAUGGAAUUAUCUCUCUUUUUUUCGAGGAGUCGCAUCUUGUAAAGAACUAAAUGAGUGGGGAAGAAUCGUCAGGGAAAUUUGAAAGUGGACUUCGUUUUUGUACGCUCUUGUCCUCUCUGAUGCCUUUUGUUGUCGUCACAUAUUUUAGAGGAAAAGCCCACUUAUUAUUUUUUUCUUUUUUCGUUUUGUUUAUAUGGCUAAUGAAUUUUAUUGACUCAACCAUUAAAUGAGGGAAUAUUUUGCUGUUUACACAACAAACAUAAUUAUUCCUGUUACAAAAAGUCCACAGUGCCCUGUACAUAUUAUUACUAUUAUUAUGAUUAUUAUAAUAACUAUAAAUAUUACCCCUGCGUUACAAGGUUUUUGUUUUUAAAUCAGCAAAUUGAGAGGAGCAAAUAUUUCCAUAAUAAAAUAAUUAGAUAUUUGUAUAAAUGAAAGUUCUUUACAUAAGUGAUAUUUUUUUUUUACCACCACUAAACUUAUGUAAUUGCAAGAUUGAUGCAUUAUACUUUGGAGAAAUUAGAGGGCGUUGUAAAUAUUUGCAUCUACCCUUCCAUUUCACCACUUUCUUCAUUGUCAUUCACCAUAAACCUUGAAGAUUUUUUUUUGCAGACAAGUGUAUAACUUCACAUUAGUAUAAAAUUGAUAAAGAAAAGAUAACGACACAAGUACUUUUUGUCUAAAAAAAGCAUUUUGGCAUCCAUACUAGUAUUUCGGUUAAAUAAUGUAAUAAGAAUAGUAGUGGAUUUUAAAAAAAUAAAUUACUUAGACCAUUCAUUAGAAAAGUGCAAGGAUAACCUUGGAUUCCAAGUAAGAAUGUAAGGUCUUGAUGUAUCAAAAUUUUCAUGUUUUUGUGUGGUUUUUGUUUUUAGGUGAAAUACAAUAAACUAUUAAAUGAUACUUAUUGAUUAAUGCUGAAUGAAAAACCAUAUCAAUGUCCUUUAACUCAUUUUGGCAUCACAAGGUUUUCACAUUAUUCACGUGUGGGAAUCUUAUAUAUUUAGAUAAAUAAAUUAAAAUUAAAACUAACUUCUUUUGAAAUGAUGCAUCAAUAUAUUGCCUAUUUAAGAUGAAUUUUUUUUCUUCUUCUUCUUCUUGCCAAAUCCCAACAAUUCAACUCCAUUGCCCAUGCUAAAGGUAGUUCAACACCACAUGUUGUUGUGGUACAUUUUACCCUAAUGCAUGCAAUUGAUUCACAUUGCCAAUGUCAAAACCUUGCAAAGCAUGCAUCAAUUGAAUAUAUAUAUCACGUAGCUCAACUUUCGUGAAGGAUUUGAGUCCAAACGAUGUUCGUUUUGGAUGUGCAACCUAUUGUUUCGAAGCUCAGGAUGUCUAUUAUCUAAUCCUAAGAGGACUCGGGCUGAAAUGAGGUCGUUUCGGACCUUGUUUUGGCCAAAAUAGUAACAUAUGUACAGGCCUACGAAAAUUACAGAUUAGGCUGAAAAUCACAAUUAUCAUUCAAAUCAUCAACAAAUCAUUGCAGCAUUCAUACUCAUCAAUCUUAAGCAUGUAAAAGCUCCUAAUCUUGAAUCCUAACCUUGAUCAACUAACUCAGUCUCGCUUCAUCGGAUUCGAGUUUUGAAUCGUUACCUUCGUCACGAUUUUCGUUGGUUUCUACCGUGAUCGAUCGGAUCAAAUCGCCAUAUCAUGAUCGAGACUCCAAGAAUGUAGAUCAAGUCACUACAGCUUGGAUCGGGAUCAAUUGAACCAUCGGCUCAAGGAAAAAAAUGAAGAAUUGGUCCAAGAGAUGAACCAAGACUUAGAGAGAGAGAGAGAGAGAGAGAGAGAGAGAGAGAGGCUGAGGAGAGAGAAAAAAUUUGUGCAAAUGAAGCUCUAUGCUGAAAAUAUAAGAGAUUUCACUUAUAUACUCCAAUAUUAAGCGCUUUUGGCCAUCGGUUCGACCUUACGGCCAAAAUAUUGAUUCAAUGGUCAAAAAUCCAUUUUGAAUGCUUCAUUAUGAUCUCGAGGUAUCGAGUAAUUGAUCUAGUGGGUUUAAUUUGCAAAAAACUAAGCCAAAAUCGGGAAUUGCGUCGAAAUGUCUAAUUAUGGGUUAAUUUGCAAUUUGACGAAAUUUAAGGACUAAUUUAUAAAAUUUUGGGAAAUUGAAGAUGUAGAAGUGAAAUUGGGAUUGAGAGGGUUCCAAAACAAGUGGCCGGAGGCCAAGAACCGGUCGGCAAGGGCCUGAACCAGCUAGUCCCGCCGGCAGCUGGUCAGACCAGCCAGACCGGUUCGGUGCGGUUCGGCCGUAUUUUGACUUAUUCUUAACCAGUUUGGUCUGGUUCCUGCUAUUUUGUUCACUUGAGAUCCCUAUGGGUUAAAAAUUUAUGCAAUUUGACCCCUAAAGGACCUAAUUGAAAAGGAAUUUUAUCAUUUUUAUGAAGAAAUUGACCAAUUAAGGUACAAUUAAGAUAAUCAAACCUUAUGAACAUGACUUAGGGGUCUUUUAUUGAUCUAAUUGAAUGAUUAUCGUGAAAAAAAAAUGAGUCGAAACCAUGGGUGCUUUGAAUUGGGCCUAAAGAGCUAAAAUGGUAAAAUUUUCAAUUCAAUGGGCAAAAUUACAAAUUAACUAAAAUUGAACUUAAUUAGUAUCACAAUUGCCCUAUCUAAUGAGCUACCCAUAUGUAAGAUCACUUAAAACAUAUUGAAUGAUUUGAUCGGAAAUUUGGAGAAUUUCAAUAUCCAAAUACAGCAAUUGAUUCUUUCUUAUAAUUGAUUCUCUUCAUGUAUAAAAGGUUCUGUUUCUACCAUCAGGAGCCAAGAUUUUCUCAUUGCAAAGAAAUUAUGCAGUCACAUGAGAAAUAGAUAUAAAUGUUGGAUCCUCAAAAGCAUGAUCCAACUAGAGCAGUUCCAUUGACAGAAAGAGAAUGGAAAUUGAAUUGAGUAAGCGUCACACCACAAACAUAAAAGAGAGAAGAUGACAUUGCACCAAUAAUAGUCCUGAAAGCUAUGGCUUCCAAAAUAUAACAUUUUAAAGAAAUGAAUGUCUGCUAAUCUGCCAGUGCUUUAUAACCGUGCAGGUGCACACGUCAGUAUGAUUCAACAGCAGUGGACUGGAGCAUUAUGCUAAUGCAAAGUCAACCAGAAAAACUUGAAGGCCUAUGGUCUAUUUGCCUACCGCAACAGAAAUUCGCAAAUCUCCGGAGUUGUCAUUCAGCCGAGGAUUCAAAUACAGUCAAUAUCCAGAAAUACAGAGGACUAUCCAACCUCCAAUUACAAUGAAUGCAAACAGAAGUUUACAGGAUGGCAAAAACUAUCCUAAUACCAAGGUGGCCUCACCACACCCAAUGUCCACCAUCAAAGGCAAGGUCGGGUCCUCCAAGACCUCGUCCCAGUUCGGCGCUUGCGCAGGCAUCUGUCAUCACCGAACCAGAAUCAGACAAAGCGCUAACGCAGGACCCGAAUGGAAAACAAGGAAGAAUUUUUAACGCGUACCGAGAAGGAAGAACUGAGAGGAUUGACAUGUUGCCUGGUCCUGACAUGACCCAAUUCCUGCAAAACGAGAACCAACAAAAGAACUCGCUUUUACCGUACUCUCGAAUCGGGCAAUCGACAACCCACUUCGCUCGGCGUUACCUCGGAGAGCUUGUGAGGGAGAUUGAGGUCCGCGUACUCUAAGGCGAUGAGGUCGGGGCUCCGCAGCCCAUUCUUCCCUUCUUGCUGCCGUUGCAGCUGGACUGCGGUGCCACUACCGUAACACCAAAGACGGCGACCGCAGGUUGCCGCGGCGAGGUUGGCGAUGUGAAGGAAUGGAGGUGAAGAAGCGAGAGGAGCGCGCAAGGAAGCAGAGAAGGGGAUGACGAUGGCCAUUGAUGCCGACUCAAGCUUCGACUUUCAGGCAUUCAUGGAAG
rnacentral:lncRNA from 1 species